rnacentral:rRNA from 1 species
CCUACGGGAGGCAGCAGUGAGGAAUAUUGGUCAAUGGGCGCGAGCCUGAACCAGCCAAGUAGCGUGAAGGAUGACUGCCCUACGGGUUGUAAACUUCUUUUAUAAAGGAAUAAAGUGAGGCACGUGUGCCUUUUUGUAUGUACUUUAUGAAUAAGGAUCGGCUAACUCCGUGCCAGCAGCUGCGGUAAUACGGAGGAUCCGAGCGUUAUCCGGAUUUAUUGGGUUUAAAGGGAGCGUAGAUGGGUUGUUAAGUCAGUGGUGAAAGCUUGAGGCUCAACCGUAAAAUUGCAACUGAUACUGGCAGUCUAGAGUACAGUUGAGGUAGGCGGAAUGCGUGGUGUAGCGGUGAAAUGCUUAGAGAUCAUGAAGAACUCCGAUUGCGAAGGCAGCUUACUAAGCUGCCACUGACAUUGAGGCACGAAAGUGUGGGUAUCAAACAGGAUUAGAUACCCGAGUAGUC